UACUACAGAGGCGAACAAUCCUGAGCUCAGCCUAUUGAGCCAAGUUCCUGCUGUUGAAGCCUCUCAGAACUCAUGUCACUGGGGUUCUUUGUGUCCACUUGAAGGAGCCUUGAGGUGAUCGCAGAAAAAGACAACCAACUACAAGAAAGGCCAUGAUAUCUGCCUGAUUUAGGUUUGUCAGCUGUGGAAAACUGUCUGUGAAGAUUAAUGAAGCUGUGCAUCAUCCACUUUCUUCUCACUUUAAAUGUUCACACGUCUUAUCAUAUGUUCUAUUGCUCUGUAAUCAGGCGUAUGUACACGGAUGACGGCUCUCCCCUCUACCAAUACAAAGUGCCUCUACCUUUGGCAGUAUGUUUAUAACGCAUCUGAUAAUAAACCAGCUAUUCCG
rnacentral:lncRNA from 1 species